rnacentral:lncRNA from 1 species
AUUCAGAAGGAUUCUUCAAAUGGAGAUCAAGAGCAGAAAUUUUCUGUAGAUUUAUGAAGUACACAGAAGCACUAUGAAAAUGUUUUUAUGACCUUAUGAGGCACAGAACCAAGCACAUUUGAGCAAGAACCUAUAACAACAGAACAUCACUGUUGCUUGCUGGCUCAAUUGAAAUGCCUAAACAUGGACAUCUAAUGACACAUCGGAUGCUUCCUGUCCAUUGCUGCACCACCCAUGGUCAUGGACCUCUGAAAGAAACUUCAGUGUGCUACAGUCAGUACCACUGCUGUAAGAAGAAGAGGUUUGUUGCUGAUGUUAAGCCGGGCUUUGAGUAUCGGGUAGGGACAUCAAAGGUGAGCUGUAAAACCUGAGUUGGCUUCUGUUUCAGUGGAUAUAGGAUAUAAGUGCAGGCCAGUUGUUAUGAGGGCAUCACAAAAUUAGUGACUUGGUUCGGAAACACUGCUAUAUAAUAUGUUCCUUUUGUUUGCUAAGGUUGUUCUCUAAACUUCUGGUUUUGAAACAGGAUAUGAAAUGUUUGUCCAUGACAUACUGCUGAAUUGUACUUUUGUGUUUCUGAACUGUUUUAUUCCAAUCCCCCACCCUCCAUUCCCUCCCAAAUUGUUCUUCUUGAAAUGAAGAUCUGACUGUGAGAUGCUAUAAUCUCUAGUGCUUCAUCCCUCUUAAAAAAAUAGUGUUACUUAAUUUUUCUUCUGCAGCACUUCUCUGAGACUUCUGGUAUAACUAAGGAUGACUUGCAUGAGUAAGAGCUCUUAGG